rnacentral:misc_RNA from 1 species
GUUGGGUUGGUCUGUCACUUUGCGGUCUUUGUGGGGGGCCAGACGAGACGGCAGACCAUUUGUUUUUAUCCUGCCCGGCUACUGAAGGCCUUUGGACCUACUUCCGAUCGGCUCUAGGAGUCCGGGGGCGACCUGAAUCCAUCUCACAGGCUUGGACAUCUUGGAGGGUCUUGGGUGUGGCGAGGGGUACGCGACGCACUU